rnacentral:rRNA from 1 species
CCUACGGGCGGCAGCAGUGAGGAAUAUUGGUCAAUGGACGAGAGUCUGAACCAGCCAAGUAGCGUGAAGGAUGACUGCCCUAUGGGUUGUAAACUUCUUUUAUAAAGGAAUAAAACGAGGCACGUGUGCCUUUUUGCAUGUACUUUAUGAAUAAGGAUCGGCUAACUCCGUUCCAGCAGCCGCGGUAAUACGGAGGAUCCGAGCGUUAUCCGGAUUUCUUGGGUUUAAAGGGAGCGUAGAUGGGUUGUUAAGUCAGUUGUGAAAGUUUGCGGCUCAACCGUAAAAUUGCAAUUGAUACUGGCAGUCUUGAGUACAGUUGAGGUAAGCGGAAUUCGUGGUGUAGCGGUGAAAUGCUUAGAUAUCACGAAGAACCCCGAUUGCGAAGGCAGCUUACUAAACUGUGACUGACAUUGAUGCUCGAAAGUGUGGGUAUCAAACAGGAUUAGAUACCCCGGUAGUC